rnacentral:rRNA from 1 species
UCAUGAUUGUAACAACUUACCAUCCUUUGACAUGGCGUGUUACGUGGAGAGAUCCACGGUCUCCUUCGGGAGCGCGCACACAGGUGCUGCAUGGCUGUCGUCAGCUCGUGUCGUGAGAUGUUGGGUUAAGUCCCGCAACGAGCGCAACCCACGUCCUCAGUUGCCAUCAUUCAGUUGGGCACUCUGGGGAGACUGCCGGUGAUAAGCCGCGAGGAAGGUGUGGAUGACGUCAAGUCCUCAUGGCCCUUACGGGAUGGGCUACACACGUGCUACAAUGGCGGUGACAGUGGGA